rnacentral:lncRNA from 1 species
AUGGAGCUGCCCCAUGGAGCUGCCCCACGCAGGAAGCUGGCCUGGUGCCAGGGAAGGUGGCUGGCUGAGUGCCGGGACGGGGGUCAGUCUGUGCCAGGGCUGGGCUCGUUGCCAGGGCUGGUGUCCCUGCCAAACCCAGCUUUGCCCCGGAGGCUCUUCGGGGAGACAGGAGGAGCCCUGGCAGGAAUAAAUCUUGCCCCUCACCUUCUCCUGCUUCACUCAAGACUCACCAGACCACAGAGGAAGAUGAAGGUCGCUGUGCUCAGUGUGGCCCUGCUCAUCGCCGUCCUGUGCCACCCGGCAGAUGCGCAGGUGAGCCCCCCAUCACGGGCACAGGCUGAAGGCUGGAGGUGGGGGUGGGCUGCAGCAGGCCCCUCUGGCCAGGCGUACUUUGCCCUCUUUGCACACUGGGGCCUCAGCGCAAUGUGGGUCCGUGCCUGGGUGCCCGGGUCUCUUUCAUACCUUCUCUUGCUCCUCUCCCUCCAGGUACGGGUGGCUCUUCAGCCCCCUGAAUCAUCUGUGGUGGCCUUGGACCAGGUGGACGCGGCAGAUGUUGAUCUGACAGCAAAUGAAGAUGUUGCCGUGUCACCUGCCUUGAACACGAUCGAAAAGGCCUUGCGCAAGAGACGCCUGGCUGCAGAGCUCCAUGCCUAGGUGAGUAGGAGCCCCACAGGGGCUGCCAGGUGACCCUGUCAGAACCCGGAGUCCUUGGGGAAUUGGGUGUCAGGGUCCGGGUCUGGGUGUGGGUUAAAGGGACUGCCCACGACCUGCUCGGGAGGGACCUGGGAAAUGCCAUCCCCAAACUUUCCCUUGUGCUCCACAGAUCUAUACAGACCAGGAGGGUCUCU